CGGCCCGUGCGGUGACGCCGCCUGAGUGCGGGGUACGCCGGGAGUUGUAGUCCUGACGGCACAGCCUUGCAGCGUCUCCGGAAGUGGAGGCGGGAGCGGCAGGGCAGCCCCUGCUUGGGGGAGCGGGAGGGCAGACUCUGGGCGCCACUCCCGGGCCGGUCAUGAACGGGCCGGCGGACGGCGAAGUGGACUACAAAAAAAAAUACCGGAAUCUGAAGCGGAAGCUCAAGUUCCUCAUCUACGAGCACGAGUGCUUCCAGGAGGAGCUAAGGAAAGCGCAAAGGAAAUUACUGAAAGUGUCCCGGGACAAGAGUUUCCUCCUAGACCGACUUCUGCAGUACGAGAACGUGGAUGAAGACUCUUCGGACUCAGAUGCCACUGCAUCAUCAGAUAACAGCGAGACAGAGGGGACACCCAAGUUGUCUGACACACCGGCCCCUAAGAGGAAGAGAAGCCCUCCGCUGGGGGGCGCCCCCUCUCCCUCCAGCCUCUCCCUGCCUCCUUCAACAGGGUUUCCCCUUCAGGCCUCCGGGGUCCCCUCCCCAUACCUGAGCUCGCUGGCCUCCCCCCGCUACCCCCCAUUCCCUUCUGACUACCUGGCCCUACAGCUGCCCGAGCCCAGUCCCCUGAGGCCCAAGCGGGAGAAACGGCCCCGCCUGCCCCGGAAACUCAAGAGCGCGAGCUCUGGCUGCCGUGCGGAGGAGCUGGAUCUGGGAGAGGCUGCGGGCAGGGAGUCCAGUUAGGAGGCUGGGACCGCAGCCCAGAUAAGCCGCUGGGGCUCCUGGCUCAGGCAGCCUGCAAUACCCUCCACCGAACCAGUGAGUGCCGCAGAAGAGGGAGAGGAGGAGUAGGGAGAGGAAGCUGGUGGCAGGUGGCACCUCCGGGCCGGCAGGCAGAUGUUCAGCGAUGCAGGUAGCGGGGACGAUGCCUUGGAUGGAGACGAUGACCUGGUGAUCGACAUCCCGGAGUGACUGUGACAUCACGCCAUGCCCACCACGGCGCCCUCCCCAUGCCAGCACACACAAGUCCAGCUUCCUCGGAGGUGUUUAUUGACGCCCAGCUGCCAUGCUCCGGCCACUGACACAACCAGAAAAGGCGUAAACAUGCACGGGUGUCCCCCAGGAGGGUGGCAGGGGCCCUGCCUUCAAACCCCGGCCCCCUCCAGGGGACAGUUAUUUAAACCAGUGGCCGGGAGCAUCUGCCACCUGCUGGGGAGGCAGAGACCCUGCAAUGGCCACCUUUUUAAAAGGGCAGCUGUACAGGGCUAGGUUUUUUCAAUGAAGUUUCUGUAUUAAAGGAGUGGCUCUGG